rnacentral:rRNA from 1 species
AUGCUUGAAAAAAUUGUUUGCAAAGAAUUCCCCAAUCUCUAUGCAUUGCCAUUCCUGCAGGAUUGCUCUAUGGGCUCUUAUAACCAUCUGUGGAAACUUGAAAUUACUGGUUGCCCAAAGUUGCCUAUGCCCCUCAUGCCUCACACUUCCACACUAACUGACGUUACUGUGGAUACUAGGCGUACUGGGAGAAUGGUGUACGUGAACCAUAAUUUGUAUUUGACAAGGUAUAACAGGGCAUUAGCCUGGCAUAAUAUGGCCGACAAAGUAGAGAGCAUCACAUUUAAAGCUGGAUCAACAGUCCCAUGGAUAAUCCUACAAAGUUUAACCUCCUUCAAGAAACUUGUAAUUGAAGGAGACUCAAGCAAGCAAUCGUUGGCUUCGCUCUCAUACCUCACGUCUCUCACCAAUUUAAGAAUACAAGAUUGUAAGAAUUUCAAAGUGGGUGGGUUCAAUCUUCUCAUGGCUUCCAACCUCAAGGAUUUGGCGGUCCACAACAUAAUUGAAUAUUACCCUCGCUUUGUAGCCGCGGAUCUUCUCUCGGAAUUGGCGGUGGAAAUAACAAGGAGUAAAAAGUUAUUACCACCUACAGCUGGCGCUUUACUCCAGUUGGUAAGACUUAAUGUGGAUAGCAUCUCGGCUGUGCUUGUUGCUCCAGUUUGUCGCCUACUCGCUGCUACCCUCAAGGAGUUAGUGAUCACGUGUGAUCGAGAGGUGGAGAACCUCACCAAAGAUGAAGAGAAAGCGCUUCAGCUCCUCACCUCACUCCAAGAACUAAGUUUUUGGAGGUGCCAUCGUCUGCGGUCCUUCCCUCAAGGGUUACACGGCCUUCCUUCUCUCAGGAAACUACAAGCCAUCACUUGUCGACGAAUCAGAUCGCUGCCCAAGAAGGGAAUCCCCACUUCUCUGCGGGAGCUAUCAAUAAAUGAUUGCAGUCGCAAGCUACACAAUCAAGCCAAGAAACUAAAUCAAAGAAAUUUGUCUGUAAGCGCCUAG